rnacentral:rRNA from 1 species
UACGGGGGGAGCAAGCGUUGUUCGGAUUUACUGGGCGUAAAGGGCGCGUAGGCGGCCAGCACAAGUCAGUUGUGAAAUCUCCGAGCUUAACUCGGAACGGUCAACUGAUACUGUGCGGCUAGAGUGCGGAAGGGGCAACUGGAAUUCUUGGUGUAGCGGUGAAAUGCGUAGAUAUCAAGAGGAACACCUGCGGCGAAGGCGGGUUGCUGGGCCGACACUGACGCUGAGGCGCGACAGCGUGGGGAGCAAACAGG